AGGAAAGUCCGGGCUCCACAGGGCAGGGUGCCAGGUAACGCCUGGGGGCCACACUGGUGACGGUGUGGCUACGGCUAGUGCCACAGAGAAGAUACCGCCUGUUCCUUCCUCGUGUCGGAACCGGUAAGGGUGAAAAGGUGCGGUAAGAGCGCACCUUUUCACCCUUACCGGUUCCGACACGAGGAAGGAACAGGCGGUAUCUUCUCUGUGGCACUAGCCGUAGCCACACCGUCACCAGUGUGGCCCCCAGGCGUUACCUGGCACCCUGCCCUGUG
rnacentral:RNase_P_RNA from 1 species